UUCCGAAUCAUUUGGCACAAUCAAUUGUUACAAUCCUUUCUCAAGUUAGAUUCACUAUAUCGUACACAGUGUCACCAUGAAAUUCAUUUCCAUCCAUUUUAUUCUUAUCCUGAUGGCCAUUCUAAUUUGCCCAUCUCUGUGUAAAGUACGCCAAGCUUGCACCCGUGACGAUCAGUGUUACGAUCCUCCGAACGUGUGUUUAAAAACUACUGGCGAAUGUUUGGCUUUAUUCGAUGAUUGAGCAAAAGGAUAGUCUCAAAGUUCGAUCAUCCUGAAUUAUCGAUUUUGAUUAAGGUCUAUGUUAUAAGAAACUAAAAUGAUUAUGCUAUUAUAUCUUUGGAUCUAUUAAUAAUAUGAAUAAAGAAAAGCUUAUACUCUAAA